AGCAGCCGCGGUAAUUCCAGCUCCAAUAGCGUAUAUUAAAGUUGUUGCAGUUAAAAAGCUCGUAGUUGGAUUUCGGGGUUAGCAGGUCGGUCGUGCCAUUGGUAUGAACUGGUCUCGCUGAUCCCUCCCUCUUGACGAACUGUGAUGCCAUUAAUUUGGUGUCGCAGGGAAUCAGGACUGUUACUUUGAAAAAAUUAGAGUGUUUAAAGCAGGCUCACGCUUGAAUACAUUAGCAUGGAAUAAUGAAAUAGGACGUUUGAUCCUAUUUUGUUGGCUUCUAGGAUUGACGUAAUGAUUAAUAGGGAUAGUUGGGGGCAUUAGUAUUCAAUUGUCAGAGGUGAAAUUCUUGGAUUUAUUGAAGACUAACUACUGCGAAAGCAUUUGCCAAGGAUGUUUUCAUUAAUCAAGAACGAAAGUUAGGGGAUCGAAGACGAUCAGAUACCGUCGUAGUCUUAACCAUAAACUAUGCCGACUAGGGAUCGGAUGAUGUUAAUUUUUUAAUGUACUCU
rnacentral:rRNA from 1 species